CUUGGAAGGAUCCGGUGGUGAGUUGGGGUCGGCGGGGUCGGAAUGGAGACCAGCGGAGAGGGGUCGGGUCUCAGGGGUUGGGACCGAUCUGGAGGUUGAUCACUUAGGCUUGGAAAGCUAAGACAGGUGAUCAGGGGCUCGGAUUAGGAUUAACUCGGAAGAUUUGGGGUCGGUCGUCACAGAGUGGACUUCGUACAACAGAAGAACAUGCUGAAAGCAAGAGCCCUGAGCGAAGAAACUACCAGGAAGGCUAUGAAAAUCGCCGAGAACCCCCAUCACUUGGGUGCGAGAGGGUACGCGGCCAAGAUCGCUAAAUGGAGGAGAGAGGAAGAAGAACGGCGGUUAGCUAGUUUACCAAAUUUGUUUAAAGGCUUGGAUGAGCGCAGCAGGAAUUACUAUUUAUAAACUUGGUGCUAAUUAAUGCCAUAUAUAAUAAAAUUAUUCUAAUAUCAUGCAAAGAUCACUGAAUUUGCAUCAUGAUUUACCCCCAGCUUGGAUCUGCAAUUAUCCUCGACUCUCUCAGAUAUACCAAAGAUAGUUACAAGGAAUUCCUAGACAUUGUACAAAAUGAGCAUAGGCUUUACGUACUAAAAGGCGGGGAAUGCCAUGAAAACAGGAAGAAAACAAUGAAAAUAAUAACACUCCCACAAGCAACCGCCCAGCUCUGUGCUAUGUGGAUAUUAAUUGUGCGAGUUCCUCAGAAAUAAUGGGAGGUACCGGACGAACCCCGAAGACAUGCCUAGGAUCGACACUUGCGAUACGACGCUUGAAGACAGAGGCACUAGGAUCGACACUUGCGAUACGACGCUUGAAGACAGAGGCAUCAUCAACAUUUGUAGGGACAUGGUGAGGUUCAUCCAACGGGAUAUUUAUCAUGAGGAUGGAGAAUUCUUUGAUCUAAAUGGAGUGUUGGCGGCGGACGAAUGCGAACGUCUUCGUAGCUGGACGAAGGCGCCACCGAUGUAGCUCUAUUCCAAUUGUUGAAUUAUGUGAAUUAUUUAUUAUUCAAGUUUGUUGAAUAAUGUGAAUUAUCUAUUAUG